UCGGGCAACGGAUACGAUAUUUUAACGGAAAUCAUGUCGUUUCCUAGCUAUGCUUUGUUUUAUUUCCCUGACUCGGACAUAGUGGACAGCACCGAUAUCAUUUUAAGAGAACACAGACGAGCAGAGUACCAGCUCCCGCGAACAACUCAGAAUAGCGGUGCGCCUGACAAGUCGCGGCCGACAUGGACAGAGCAAGAUACAGGCAGCAAAAAUACUACUACUUGGUGACGUUUACAAAGACUUAAUCAUGAAGAGAGAUGCUUUUAAGAGAGGAGAAGACAUCUGGAAGACCACUGCAGAGAAAGGGAAAAAACACCUGAAGCCAUAAAGAGUGCAAGUACAUCUCAAAGUGCAGCUGAUGCUGGAAUGGGAGAAAAACUUAAAAGAGACCUCCAGAACCUGCAAAGACAGAAAGCACCUGUAACCUCUACUCCAAUGUCAGGUGACUCAGAUAACACUGACACUGACCUGUUUGAAAAUACAGAGCAGAGACAAUCAAGGAAAAGAAGUUUCCUGGGAUUGUAUCAUCUCUCAAAGAUGUCCUAGAGUCCAUGAAAAGAGGCCCAUACAGCUCAAGAUCAAGUCUCUUGCUGAAUCCUCAGAAAUGACACUGUGAUAAAAGAGUUCCCAAAGACGACAGUGUCUGAGGUGCGGGCCCUCAUUUGGAGGAAGUGCAACAACGAGUCAGCCUCAAAGAACAUUCACUCUCCAUUGGAAGGAUGAAGAAGAUGUGAUGUUUGAGUUGUUACAGUUCUUGGUUAACUGUUUGGCUAUUGCUAGUUUGUUAAAAAUGCAUUUGUUUGUCUUCUGUGGCUCCAUAUGUGGUUCAAUUGUUUGAUGAAAUUGCUAGUUUCCUACAAAUGCUCUUUAGUGAUUUAUUUUUUAUUAUUCUUAUUUUGUGUUAAAUGGAGCUCUGCAGAUCACUUAUCUUUAUUUUUG